rnacentral:rRNA from 1 species
CCUACGGGAGGCAGCAGUGGGGAAUAUUGGACAAUGGGCGCAAGCCUGAUCCAGCCAUACCGCGUGUGUGAAGAAGGCCUUUUGGUUGUAAAGCACUUUAAGCGAGGAGGAGGCUCUUGAGGAUAAUACCCUUGAUGAGUGGACGUUACUCGCAGAAUAAGCACCGGCUAACUCUGUGCCAUCAGCCGCGGUAAUACAGAGGGUGCGAGCGUUAAUCGGAAUUACUGGGCGUAAAGCGCGCGUAGGCGGCUUGUUAAGUCGGAUGUGAAAUCCCCGGGCUCAACCUGGGCACUGCAUUCGAUACUGGCAAGCUAGAGUAUGGGAGAGGAAGGUAGAAUUCCAGGUGUAGCGGUGAAAUGCGUAGAGAUCUGGAGGAAUACCGAUGGCGAAGGCAGCCUUCUGGCCUAAUACUGACGCUGAGGUGCGAAAGCAUGGGGGAGCAAACAGGAGUUAGAUACCCUGGUAGUCCAUGCCGUAACGAUGUCACUAGCCGUUGGGGACCUUGAGUCUUUAGUUGGCGCGAGCGACGACGAGUAAGUUAGUACCGCCCGCGGGAGGUACGGUACGGCGAGACGUAAACGUAACAAUAGAGUUAGUUAGGCGGNGGAGAGNGCGACGGACGACGACGAGGGGAGGAGG